GGUUAGAUGGCCGAGCGGUCUAAGGCGCCAGACUAAGGAUCAGAGCAAUUACUGCUCACCAUUGACCAACGUUCAUUCGUUGAGUUAUCUGGUCCUCCGGGGCGUGGGUUCGAAUCCCACUCUAAUCA
rfam:Hypholoma sublateritium FD-334 SS-4 unplaced genomic scaffold scaffold_21, whole genome shotgun sequence.